UCUAAUUUUAAUUUUAUAAUUAAAGUAUUAUUAGUUAAGUUCUUUAAAUUUAAAAAUUUUGGCGGUAUUUUAAUCUAUUCAGAGGAAUCUGUUCUAUAAUUGAUAUUCCACGAUUAAUAAUACUUAUUUUAGAAAUUUAUAUAUCAUUGUAGUUUAAAUAUUUUAUAAGAAUUAAUAUUUAAAAUUUAUAAAUUUAAAAUAAAUCAGAUCAAGGUGUAGUUUAUAAAUAAGAAGAAAUGGAUUACAAUAAAAUUAUUUUUGGAUUAAAUUUUUAAAAAAUUUAUUAAAUUGGAUUUGAAGGUAAUUUUUUUAAUAUAAAAAUGAUUUAGUUCUAAAAUAUGC
rnacentral:rRNA from 1 species